rnacentral:rRNA from 1 species
AACGAACGCUGGCGGCAUGCCUAACACAUGCAAGUCGAACGAGACCUUCGGGUAUAGUGGCGCACGGGUGCGUAACGCGUGGGAACCUGCCCUUAGGUUCGGAAUAACUCCCCGAAAGGGGUGCUAAUACCGGAUAAUGUCUUCGGACCAAAGAUUUAUCGCCUUUGGAUGGGCCCGCGUUGGAUUAGCUAGUUGGUAGGGUAAAAGCCUACCAAGGCGACGAUCCAUAGCUGGUCUGAGAGGAUGAUCAGCCACACUGGGACUGAGACACGGCCCAGACUCCUACGGGAGGCAGCAGUGGGGAAUAUUGGACAAUGGGCGAAGGCCUGAUCCAGCAAUGCCGCGUGAGUGAUGAAGGCCUUAGGGUUGUAAAGCUCUUUUACCCGGGAUGAUAAUGACAGUACCGGGAGAAUAAGCUCCGGCUAACUCCGUG